CUAGCAUUCGCGUUCGUCGGUUGUAUGUGAAAGGUUUGGUUUGUUUUUGUGUGUACAAAGCGUGUCGGUCGUUUCAAUUAAAAUUGUGAAUUUUUACAGCAUUCCUGUGAGACGCGGCAGUGAAAUUUUGUGACUCGAUAGCAAAUUUAGAGCGAAUAUAUUAAAUAAAACGGAGUAUGAAAUACAAUAAAAUGAAAUGACAAGCGAAUAAGCACGCCGCGCUGCAUGCAAAAAGUGUAAACUGAGUGCAACGCAGUGCAAAAAAAUCUAUUAAAAGUUUAUCGAACUAAUUGAAUACAAUCAACGUAUCGCCGUGGCUGCCAAAAGAAGCCAACAAGCAACGAAAGCGCCAGCAGCUAAAGCAAAUAAGAACAAAUCCAAUUAGAAAAAAUAUUUGUUCAGCAAAAACAAAAGACAGUCAACCCACAGGGCGCCAUUCAAAACAAACGCGGGUCAACACCAACGCAGCGUGCUCAACAAAAAAAAAAAUAUUUCGUACAUACCACCCAUUUCUAGCAGCAGCAGCAGCAGCACUGAAUGAGCAACUAGCCGAGCCAGCAGCGAUAAUUCGUCAGUAUCUUUAGAGCGUUCAGUGCGCGUUCGGGCCAAGUGUGAAACGCGUCGCUGCGCUGUUUUGCGAGUUAUUGUUUGUGUGUGUGUGUAUGCGCGUUUAUCAAAUAAAAAAAAAAAGACAAAUUUCAUACAUUUUUCCAAAUCUUACUAAUACAGCUUUCGAUUAUCAUAACGUAUAACAAAAAAAAAGCAAUAAUAAUAAAAGUACCAGCAAGGUGUGAACGCACAUUUAUUUUCUGUGUGCAACCGCCGCCCUGCCAAGCGAACGACCUCCUUUUAGUUUUGCCUUUGUGUGUGCGCGCGCGCAUUGUAAAGUCAUUAUGGCCGCCACACCGUUGACCCUGAUGGAUGGCAGCAUCGCAUCAGCUACAGUUACGGCAGAUGCCACCGUCGUCGCCGCAGUGGCUUUGGAUAGUGACAGCAGUAGUGUUGCAACAUCACCUUCAUCAACCGCCGCCAGAGCAGCGCAAGCUUCUUCAGCCGUGCGGCCAACAAUGUUAUUCGGCUCUACUGAAUAUUUAGACACAUCCGCUAAUGUGCUGGUCUCACCAAAUGGCAGCGGCAGUGGUAAUUCCGCCGCCACAUCGCCCUCAUUUCUGCCGGAGAUGCCGCAAUGGAAGAAAGACUUAAUACAGCGCCGCAAAUCGAAUGUUGCACGUACGAUCGGUGCAGCAACAGCAGUAGUGGUGUCACCGACAUCUGCGGUAUCCGCUGCAACAAUGCAACAGCAACGUGUGAUGACGGGUGGUCAACAGCCAUCGCCAACAACAACAGCUGCAGAUGGUUUCUCGCCGACUGCAAUAUCCAUAACGCCAAACAGAGACUUAUCCACGGUCGCUUCCAAAUCCGCAGUUCAAGCAGCAACCGUGACAACAACAACAACCAAAGUGAGCAAACUAACUGCUAGUCAACAACAGCAAACAGAAAAAGAACAACAACUUCAUCAACUCCAACAAAAGCUUGCAACGGUAAACACAUCUGAGCAACAGCAAAUGAGUCUGAUUAUGAAAAUGCCAACGGCAACAGCCACAGUCACAGCAUCUCCCACAGCUCCAAUCGCGUCCACAGUUGGAGGAGCCAUAAUCGUUUCACCAACACCACGCGCAUCAAAACGCUACUCACCAACAUGCAGCAGCAACAACAGUUCGCCAACAAAAGAAAAAUCCGAAAGAAUUCUACACGGGGGUCAUUACACGCCAAAUAGAGAACACCGCGAGAGUGGCGGCGAUCGCGCAGAUUGGGAUAUACACCGACAAAUGGUAUCGCCAACGACAGCAACAACAAUAACAUCACUUCACAAAUCAACAACAGGGGCAGCACCACCGCCAAUACCAAAGCAAAGAUCAGCGUACUCGCCGGUAAAGAAUGCUUCUUCAGCUGCAGCCAAAGAAUCGGUUUCUGGCAACGCAAAUUACCAAAUGAGCGAGAAGAGAGGCAGCGGUGGCGGCGUAGCGACGACAGCAACUCGUUUAACAGGUAAAACUGUGACGCCGGCGGCAGAAACGGUGAGAGAGGAGUUGCAGAGCACAGCUGGCGUUGAAUGUGACGGUGGUGCCGCUGAUAGUACCACAACUAUGGCCACCAACACAGCUGUUGGUGCUAGCAUUGGCCAUGCUGAUGGUGAUGGCGAAGAAUGUACAUUUGGCGAAAAGCAAGAAAACGAAACCACGACACGCAUAACGGCAGGAGAGAUUGGUGGAACGUAUGCAGCGUCGAGCAGGCAAAUACCAUCCACACUACAGACUACAACGGCUGGCUCGCCAACUAGAGCGAGCAUGAGCGGAGCGGCAGUGACGACGGUGCCACUAUCGCCAUCGUUAGUCGCCGCACAAGCAGCCCAGUCUCAGCUAUCGCAACAGUUUCAUUCGAAGAACGAGCGCGAACGUACGUACACGGAACAACGCGGUGCGUCAUCGUCGUCGUCGGUCGGGAACAAUAGUUGUAUAGCUACAACAAAAAAAGUGCAAACACCAGAAAAUAUAGUAGCAGAUUGCAGCAGCGGUAGUGUUGGCUUAUCGAACAGCAAUAAUAAUUACAGCGCCACAUCCAGCCCCUACUCGCCAUCGAAUUACGUUUCGUCACAGCUUGGUAAUAGUAGCGGCGCCGCAGCAGGAAGUGGCAGCGGUAAAAUCUUUUCGAAGCUCCACAAUAAUCAAUUCAUAAAGAAUCAACAACAGCAGCAUCAACAUCUGCAACAGAGCGGGGCACAAACGAGCGCUGCAACGCAAUCGAAUAUUACCGCACGUUAUCUAAAAUAUAAAUCGUACACAUCGCAUGCGCAGGAAUCUACAGGCAGCAGUGAAACUGGUUCGGGAAGUUCCAACUCAAGCGGCAGCAACAGUAGCUACUCCGGUUUACCGGGCACUUACUCGCCAACAAAGUCGUUUGUGGCACCCACUGCAAACGCCAUUAAAAAGAAAAUGGUGGCCGUGCAGGAGAUGAAGAAGACUACACAGCCGAGUGGCAAUCACGGCCAACUACAUCCACAUCGCACACAUCAUAAUCAUCAACAGCAACAAUUCCAACAGAUGAUCAGCGCAGGAGGAGGUGGUGGCGGGACGUGUGCACGUCCUGCAGCACUCACUGGCGGUCGCGCACGUCCACCCAGCCAGUCGGAGGAGGUGGACUUCGAUCCGGCCGAGGAUCUCAGCUAUGGUCCGGGAAUAGUGUCGAAAUUGCGUUGCCGUUAUCUUAGUCUCGCUUUCCGCGAAUCUAUGGAGAAGGAGCGUCAUUGUCUCGAUAAUAUGCGGCGCGCCACAAGCCUCAACAAUCUGCUCGAUCGUGAUGAUCCACCAGACGAUGAUGAGCCCGAAGAUGAACUGGACAGCGGGGAGGCCAUUGAAGUGGAAGUGCAUGAAGAGGAAGAAUAUGUUGAUAUGCGCACUGAUGCAGACAGAACUACAAAUGCCGAGCGCAAACUAAAAGCACAGGGUGGCAUACUGAAGUACAACACCGACGCUGCUACGCAGGAGAAUGCUAAAAAGACUACAACAUUUCAAAAGAAUUCGGGCACUUUUGCCGCGAACAGUGCGCGUUUGUUGAAUUCGUCUUCGGUUGGUGGCACAGGCGGUGCGGUAUCCUCCGCCAAUGUAGUUGCUCCAGAUACGCCGCGUUCGCGACAUGUGAAACGUGGUAAUGAUUCGUUAAAACGCGCGCGGUCCGUGGAAGCGUUGCUCUGUGAACGUUCGCCCUGGCAAUAUGCGGCGCUUAAUCGCACCAGCUAUCAGCCACAACGUUUCACGUCGAACAGUACAGCGUUCUCGCCGUCGCAGCCGACCUGCGUCACUAUCGAGGAUAAGAUAAAUAAUGCGCGUAGUCGUCUGAUACUCGGCACGGAUAUUAUGCCACCUAAGCGAUUGACCUCAGUGAUUGAUGAUACGGAAAGACCACCACCGGAUUUGGUCAAACAAACAUUGAAAAAGUUCGAAGCCACAGCUAAUCGGCGUGGACGCGGACCGAGCCGCACGAAUGGCACCGGCGAGGUCGCUAACAAAGUGGCUACUUACAAGACAAUCAUUAAGGAGAACAAGCCAGCAAUUGUGUUUCCCAAACCACCGCUUAGUCCCACCAAGAAGUUGAAUUCAUCAUUGCUAUUAAAGCCGGCAGCUAAGCCAGUGGUGGGCGCUACUGAUUUGCUCAAUAGUCCGUUAGGGCGCAAAACCGCUGCCUUAGCCGCUUCAAAUGUCACGACUGCGCCUGGAAAGACGUUAACUUCGACGACAACCUCUAAUGUCGCUGCAGUAGCCGCCGUGCUGGCCAAUAGUAGCAGCGCAGCUGGUGCCGGCUUAUCAGAGCACUCGCCCGAUAUCAUUCCAAGGCAUAAGCUUUUAGCGGAAAAGAGUGAUUUAUCGGGGCACGGGGUGGCCGAUUCGCCAGUGACAGCUUUAACGAAAAAGCUCGAAAAGCUGCGAAUUGACGGAGCAGAUAAGCAGCAACAACAAGCAAUAACAACAAAGGAAGCAAAACAGCCAACACAGUUGAAUAAGCAGCCACACUCGGCACUCGAAGUAACCAACAGCGACAACGAAUUCGUCAAUAACAGCGAGUUGAACAACGACAACAGUACUAAGCUUGUGGGUGGUGUUGGCGAGGGUGAAGCGGCUGACAAUAGUGACGCAGCCCUCGAAGGCAACGAAAACAGCAACAACAAAACGGCAACGGCGGCGAACCAGCAUAAUGAUCGUGCAGGCACUAGCACUGUUGGCGGUGGCGAGUCAGUCGUAGAACCCGAUUCGGUGCAGGCAGGAACCGCAGCAAUUAGUAGUGAUCUUAGCGACGACGACGACGGACUUGUUGGUAUUGCCGCCGCCGCACCCACAAAACUUAUAACGCGCACAGCACUCGAUAAUAUCGCACGCGCGGGCACCACACAACAAUUCAAAUUCGCUGGCAGUGGACAAACGGAUGUCGGCAACAAAUUAUUAGAACCGAAAACGAAACAACAAACUAAUCUAAAUUCCGAUAUACCCACUUCGGUAUUGAACGCCGCACCAGGCAAACAAAUCGGGGUCAUACGCCCUCUACUCACCACAACAGCAGCGCAACAGGCUGCUGCCAACGUGAAUACUACAAACUCGAGCAUCUCAAAUCAACAACAAUUGCUGCAACAACAUAUGGAAGCAUUGAGGCAACAUAACAUUUACAACAACUCGUCAUCAACGCUAACAACGGCCGCCACAGCAACACAUUCCUCAAUUUACCACAGCAUACCGCAGCUGACGAGCCGCGAAAUCGAAAAGAAUCGCAUAAAUGAAAUGAAGAAAACGGUCGCCUUAGCGGAUGGUGGCCCAACAGCAGCCACUGUGGUUGGCGCCAGCGCCAAUGCCAACUCACCCGCCGCCGUACAGCAUGCCACAAUUGCUAGUCUAAAUACCGUGAUAAAUACCAAUGCGACUGGUCACAAGUCCAGCGGCUCGGGCGCUGCGUCAUCAACGCCAAUAGUUGGCGGAGGUUCAGGCACUUCCGGCUUCAAUGAACUCGAUGCGGCAGCGCAGGGCGCUAAUAAUAGUCCCUUAUGGGCGCUACGCAUCAAACGACAGACACCAAGCGCUGCACAGGAGAACACAUCGAUGGUCUUCAACUUCUCCAAUCGCAAAGAGGUGCCCGAUUAUAUUGAGAAUGAUGGGGUGAUCUUCCGCAGAAAACGUGAAUUACCCAAGCCAAAUGAAUCUGGUUUCGUGCUACUCGGUGAUCUCUCGCUGGAAACUUCAACCGAUUCGGAUUAUGAUGAUUUCUCCAUGUGCCCACCAUCUCCGUGCGAUGUUGAAUUCGAAAAUGCUAAUAUUGUGAUCGAUGGCAAGUCAAGCUUCCGACAGAAACCUAAAGAAGCAACGUUUCACGUACAAUUCAACGAUACGCUCACCUCCACCUUUGAAUAUCCCUCCGAGGCAUCGAUAGUUAUUGACGACUCCUACAGCGAUGAUGCACUUAUAAGCGCCUACGAGAAUUUAUCAUUGAAUGAUUCAACCGAUUCCUCACCGGCGCGACACCAUCAUGUAGCCGUUGAUGAGAUUAUACAACUGCCAACACCGGCGAAUACCUCGUCUCCCGCCAAUAAUGCCAGCAGCGCAACAAAUACGCCAACGAAAAAUAUACUGGGGAAUUUGCCAUUAGAUGUAAAUUAAAUAAUUUAACAAAAGAGAAACAAAAACGAAAUCAUGUUUACAAUGCGUUUGUGUAAGUGUGCCUAAACUGAAAAAGCGCGUUAAAGAAAACGAGAAAAAUCGAAAUAUCGUAAAAAAAUCAAAAAAAAAAUAUUUAUUAAAAAAAGUAAUAAUAACAAAGCAUAAAUUUUACGCAACUCCGUAAAUGCCAAGUUUUUUUUUUAUAAAAGAAAUGUUAACAAUACCAAAGCUAUAAAACUGUCUGCCUGCCCGUGCGCCGCCCGCCUGCUACUUUUGCUCGUACUACCAAACCAAGACCAUUAUCACCAACAGCACCGCUACUCUGCUACUUAUACUAUGCAUUACUACCUAAAUACUAAAUACUACCUUUAAGUAUUCUACAAGUAAAGCUACUUAAACUUCUAACAACCACCUGAAAAGAAUAAUAAUACUGCCAAAAAUGUUUUAUAUACUAAACUAAAUCUAAAAAAAGCCAAAAACUUAUUAUGCCUACUAAGUAAUUAAAUUUGCGAGUAUAGUCGCAACCAUGUGCAGCUCUGCAGCUAACAUUUAAAUAGUGCUAAUGCUUUCAAAUAUCAAAGUACCAAAGUCAUGUGUCGACAACAAAAAUCAACUCAAAAUCAACUAAAGUUUGCUGUGAAAUAUGCAAUUAAACACUCACACAAUUCACAAUGCAGUAAUUCGUAUGUAACGGGGAAAAAAAUUAAAUCAGAUGUUAAUCAGCUGAAAAAACGCGCACGUAAACUGUAACAUAGUAACGUUUACGCGUUUACGUUGUACGCGAAAGAGUUUAUGGGUAACCGAAAUGCGUGAAACACUAUUCGAAAUGCUGCUAUUCCACUUUUUUGUUUAACUACGAAAUUUGAAACGCCAAAAAUGUGUGAAAUAUGCAGUGAAUGUUGCUCUACUCUCUUAUUAACUCACAGAAAAACUUUUAUGAACAAAAUUUUCAACUACGAAUUGUGUGUACGUGUGUUCGACCAUUUUUGAAAAAAAAAAAAAAAACAGAUAUCAUAUUUGAGUUGAGGUUCAGCGCCGCUCGGUUUCUAUACUCCGGUGAAGGCGCCUAUCGAUAAUCACUUUCAAUUGGGCGUAACGCGUGCACCCAAUGGAUUGGCACACCAUGCCUACAAUAACACCU